rnacentral:misc_RNA from 1 species
UACGAAUGAGGAGUGUGCGG